GUUAUAGAAGGGCACUACCCUCUCCGUAGGUGACAUGCGGAAGGAUCAUUAUUGAAACUUCUUUGAAAAUAGUACUGCUUCCGGUAGGGUGACUGCGGAAGGAUCAUUAUUGAAACUUCUUUGGAAAUAGUACUGUUGCUGGCCUUGUAAUGAGGUAUGUGCACGUCUAUUACCAAUUUAUUCAUCCACCUGUGCACUUUUUGUAGGAGUUCUUCGAAGUUAUUUUGUACUUGUGCAAUUUGGCUUUGAAAGGCUUCUAUGUCUUAUAAACCCAUUAGUAUGUCUCUGAAUGUUUUUUAUUGGGACUUAAUUGGCCCUUUAAACUUGUACAACUUUUAGCAACGGAUCUCUUGGCUCUCCCAUCGAUGAAGAACGCAGCGAAAUGCGAUAAGUAAUGUGAAUUGCAGAAUUCAGUGAAUCAUCGAAUCUUUGAACGCACCUUGCGCCCUCUGGUAUUCCGGAGGGCAUGCCUGUUUGAGUGUCAUUAAAUUCUCAACUUCAAUAGCUUUUACUAGCUUAUUGAUGCUUGGAUGUGGGAGCUUGCUGGCGUCUUAGAUGUUCAGCUCUCCUUAAAGUUAUUAGUGGAAACCUCUUUGUUGGUUUAUUCCUUAGUGUGAUAAUUAUCUACGCUAUGAAUAAUCUAAUGUUCCAUUGAGACUUGAGAUUUCUCAGUAGAAAUACUGGUCUGGGUACUGCAAUUAAAUUUGCUGUAUCUGUAAUCUCUCAGUAGCAAUACUGGUUUGGGCAUUGCAAUUAAAUUUGCUUUACCUGUAGUCUCAGAGGAAAAGAAAAGUUCUGCUUUCUAACCGUCUAUUAUAUAGACAAUUUAUUGACUAUUGACCUCAAAUCAGGUAGACAGCCAGUUCC
rnacentral:rRNA from 1 species